GUCCCUGUAGCGCAAUGGAUAGCGCGUUGGACUUCUAAUCCAAAGGUCGUGGGUUCGCGUACCUCCUGGGAUA